UGUUUAGGAUCUUUGUCAAAAACCCAGCCACAUUUCUUCUUCAAUACCCUUACUGAUGGAAGGAGGUUUUAACAACAAUACAUGGCCCCAUUCAUUCCUUCCUUUACACAGAUCAGUCGUCCUGGUCCCUUUACUGAAAAACAGUCCCAAAGCGUGAUGUUUCCACCCCCAUGCUUUACAGUAGGUAUGGUGUUCUGAGGAUACAACUCUGCAUUAUUUCUCUUCCAAACGAGACGAGUAGAAUUCUUACCAAAAAGUUCUAUUUUGGUUCCAUCUGACCAUAGGAGAUUUUCCUAAUCCUCUUCUGGAUCCUCCAAAUGCUCUCUAGCAAUUUUUAGACGGGCCUGCACAUGUACUGUCUUUAGCAGGAGGACACAUCUGGCUCUGCAGGAUUUGAGUUCCUGACGUAUAGUGUGUUACUGAUGGCAGUCUUUUGUUACUUUGGUCCCAGCUCUCUGCAGGUCAUUCACAAAGUCGCCUGUGUUGUUCUGGGGUUUUUGCUCAGCGUUCUUAUGAUCAUGUUGACACCAUAGGGUUAGGUCUUGAGGGGAGCCUCAGAUUGAGGGAGAUUAAAGUAGUCUUGUGUGUCUUCCAUUUCCUAAUUAUUGCUCCCACAGUUGAUUUCUUCAUACCUAUUUGCAGAUUCAGUCUUCCCAUCUGGUGCAGGUCAACAAUUUCUGGUGUCUUUAGACAGCUCUUUGGUCUUGGCCAUAGUGGAGUUUGGAGUGUGAUUAUUGAGAUUAAGGACAGGUGUCUUUUAUAUAGAUAAUGAGUUCAAACAGUUGCCAUUAAUGCAGGUAACAAGAGGAGGACAGAGGAUUCUCUUACAGAAGAAGUUACAGGAAUGAAUUGAGCCUAUAUGUUGGAACCAUACCUGUGUGAAGACAAAAGACAAAAUCACCUUUACAUCAUCAGAGAGGUUUGAGGGAUCUCUCCAUUUGGAGAGGCCACAAGCUCAAUGAGGUUCUUCAGCACAACAGUGACCCCAUGUGUCAGCUUGUUUGAAGAAACCGUCAUGAAGAAAUUCUUCUUAGAGCGGAGCAUCAAGAAACUGAUGUGAGUCCUGCUGCAUCAACACACCGGCCAUGAACAGCUUUUUUUCCCAUUUUUCAUUCUUUGGUUGAACCUUUCGGAUUAUGAAU